UGGGGAAUAUUGCACAAUGGAGGGAACUCUGAUGCAGCGACGCCGCGGGAACGAAGAAGGCUUUCGAGUCGUAAAGUUCUUUUAUAUGGGAAGAUAAUGACGGUACCAUAAGAAAAAGCCCCGGCUAACUACGUGCCAGCAGCCGCGGUAAUACGUAGGGGGCUAGCGUUGUCCGGAAUCACUGGGCGUAAAGGGUUCGCAGGCGGAAAUGCAAGUCAGGUGUAAAAGGCAGUAGCUUAACUACUGUAAGCAUUUGAAACUGCAUAUCUUGAGAAGAGUAGAGGUAAGUGGAAUUUUUAGUGUAGCAGUGAAAUGCGUAGAUAUUAAAAAGAAUACCGGUGGCGAAGGCGACUUACUGGGCUCAUUCUGACGCUGAGGAACGAAAGCGUGGGUAGCAAACAGG
rnacentral:rRNA from 1 species